UUUUUCUUUUCUUUUGAGAUAGUCUCCAUCGUUUUUGCCGAUGGAGAUGAUAAACAAAGUAUGGAUUCAUUAUAAAAGACUACUUUGUUUCAUUUACCUCUGCAUUUUUGAGCAACAAUGGCAGCAAUGAUCACUGUUGACUUUCAAAAUAGCUUCAUCUUCAUCCUCUUUUGUCUCUUCUCUCUCAUUUGUUACUCUCUCUUCUUCAGGAAACCAAAAGAUUCACGAGCUGGUCGUGAUCUUCCUCCGAGCCCUCCUUCUUUUCCGGUAAUUGGUCAUCUUUAUUAGGGACAAUGUCCCACAUCGAAAGUUGAGUAGGAUCUUAAGUGAUAUAUAUAAGAUAUGGGUCUCUCCACCUAUUGCCAAUUGGUUUUAGGUUGGAAGCCCACAGUCUAAUAUGGUAUCAGAGCCCGAUCCGCACAUACUCAAUCCGAUCCACAUCGGUCCGGCCCAAUACUUGGCCCGCCGAUCCAUGCCCAAACAUAUCGAGAUCAAUGGCUAGAAGAGCCAUCAUCUCGAGGGGGCGUAUUAGGGACAAUGUCCCACAUCGAAAGUUGAGUAGGAUCUUAAGUGAUAUAUAUAAGAUAUGGGUCUCUCCACCUAUUGCCAAUUGGUUUUAGGUUGGAAGCCCACAGUCUAAUAAUCUUCACCUUCUUCUCUCUGCUCUUGUUCACAAGUCUUUUCAAAAAAUCUCCUACAAGUAUGGACCUCUCCUCCAUCUCCGUGUCUUUCAUGUUCCCAUAGUCCUAGCCUCCUCGGCCUCAGUGGCCUACGAAAUUUUCAAGGCCCAAGAUGUGAAUGUCUCCUCUCGCGGUCACGCUCCAGCCGGGGAGUCUCUCUUGUUUGGAUCUUCUAGCUUCUUCUUCGCUCCCUAU
rnacentral:sRNA from 1 species